AACGAUAUUAAUUAUUUGAAUUAAUCAAUGACAUUAUAAAAAUAAAUAGAUCAAAUUAUACUAAAUUAAAGUACAAUGAUUAAACCUGUAAUUUAAUCAUAGUAGUUGGACAAAACCCCAAAAUUUGACGUGAUUGUAUCAUAGAAACAAGAGUAUCACGUUGACUCAGCAGCAGUAAUCAGUGGCCAGGCUUACCUCUGCUGGAUUCCUUUGGCCUUUGGAACUUCCGUGUCUCUUUGAAACACCUUGCUGGUGUAAAUGGCAUGAAUAAAACUCAAAAGCCUUCCACACCACACCUGCAUGCUGCACCUUAU
rnacentral:lncRNA from 1 species